GACGAAGGGAGCGAGCGUUGUUCGGAAUCACUGGGCUUAAAGAGUACGUAGGCGGACUGUCAAGCAUCUUGUGAAAUCCCUCGGCUCAACCGAGGAAUAGCAGGGUGAACUGGCAGUCUUGAGGCAGGUAGAGGCAACUGGAACUCAUGGUGGAGCGGUGGAAUGCGUAGAUAUCAUGGGGAACGCCAAUGGUGAAGACAAGUUGCUGGGCCUGUCCUGACGCUGAGGUACGAAAGCGUGGGUAGCGAACGGG
rnacentral:rRNA from 1 species